rnacentral:rRNA from 1 species
AUUGAACGCUGGCGGCAUGCUUUACGCAUGCAAGUCGAACGGCAGCGCGGGCUUCGGCCUGGCGGCGAGUGGCGAACGGGUGAGUAAUACAUCGGAACGUGCCCAGUAGUGGGGGAUAGCUCGGCGAAAGCCGGAUUAAUACCGCAUACGACCUGAGGGUGGAAGCGGGGGAUCUUCGGACCUCGCGCUAUUGGAGCGGCCGAUGGCAGAUUAGCUAGUUGGUGGGGUAAAGGCCUACCAAGGCGACGAUCUGUAGCUGGUCUGAGAGGACGACCAGCCACACUGGGACUGAGACACGGCCCAGACUCCUACGGGAGGCAGCAGUGGGGAAUUUUGGACAAUGGGCGAAAGCCUGAUCCAGCAAUGCCGCGUGUGUGAUGAAGGCCUUCGGGUUGUAAAGCACUUUUGGCGGGAACGAAAAGGACUGUGCCAAUACCACGGUUCGAUGACGGUACCCGCAGAAUAAGCACCGGCUAACUACGUG